rnacentral:rRNA from 1 species
GAUGAACGCUGGCGGCGUGCCUAAUACAUGCAAGUCGAGCGAACAGAUGAGGAGCUUGCUCCUCUGACGUUAGCGGCGGACGGGUGAGUAACACGUGGAUAACCUACCUAUAAGACUGGGAUAACUUCGGGAAACCGGAGCUAAUACCGGAUAAUAUAUUGAACCGCAUGGUUCAAUAGUGAAAGACGGUUUUGCUGUCACUUAUAGAUGGAUCCGCGCCGCAUUAGCUAGUUGGUAAGGUAACUGCUUACCAAGGCAACGAUGCGUAGCCGACCUGAGAGGGUGAUCGGCCACACUGGAACUGAGACACGGUCCAGACUCCUACGGGAGGCAGCAGUAGGGAAUCUUCCGCAAUGGGCGAAAGCCUGACGGAGCAACGCCGCGUGAGUGAUGAAGGUCUUCGGAUUGUAAAACUCUGUUAUUAGGGAAGAACAAAUGUGUAAGUAACUAUGCACGUCUUGACGGUACCUAAUCAGAAAGCCACGGCUAACUACGUG